rnacentral:rRNA from 1 species
AACGAACGCUGGCGGCAGGCUUAACACAUGCAGGUCGAACGCCCCGCAAGGGGAGUGGCAGACGGGUGAGUAACGCGUGGGAAUCUACCCAUCCCUACGGAACAACUCCGGGAAACUGGAGCUAAUACCGUAUACGCCCUUAGGGGGAAAGAUUUAUCGGGGAUGGAUGAGCCCGCGUUGGAUUAGCUAGUUGGUGGGGUAAAGGCCUACCAAGGCGACGAUCCAUAGCUGGUCUGAGAGGAUGAUCAGCCACAUUGGGACUGAGACACGGCCCAAACUCCUACGGGAGGCAGCAGUGGGGAAUAUUGGACAAUGGGCGCAAGCCUGAUCCAGCCAUGCCGCGUGAGUGAUGAAGGCCUUAGGGUUGUAAAGCUCUUUCACCGAUGAAGAUAAUGACGGUAGUCGGAGAAGAAGCCCCGGCUAACUUCAUGCCAGCAGCCGCCGCAG